rnacentral:lncRNA from 1 species
UCGAUUGGUGGUUGCUGCGGUUCCUAGUGUGCUGAAGGUGGUGGCUUGAGGCGUGCUUCCUCGGCAGUGAUGUGUGGCUCCGACUGCAAGUGGCUGCGGUGUUGGCGGUGUGAGACAUCUUUCGGGGCUGGCCGGAAUCUUGGAGGCGUGGAAAUGUGCAAUGCUACGAAUGAAAAUUCUGUUCGGCUUUGGUCGGACCGGCGUCAAUGGCACCCGUGGGUGUCAUUCCCCUUCCUGGAGGCGUCGCCGAGUGUAGCGCCAUUUUCCACGUUGCCUUGUAUCGGCAACCAUCUCCGGGGCGAAAGCCUUGAUUCGUAGGAUUGGCACGAUGGCGGCGUCUUCUGACGCCGUUUCUCUGUUGGGAGCUUUGUGCUGGGAGAUAAGAGGCCCUAUGUUGCGCUCCUCCGGCGUGCACCGCUGCCCAGACCGUUCUUCUCUGGCGCUAUGUACAGUCGUCGCUGGCUCUACCAAGGAAGCUGUAGUUGCUGUUCUUCGGUGAUCACCGGCGUCGGGCGAGACGCGGCGAGGCUUUCGGUUUUGGGUAGGCUCUUGUAUGUCGUAGUGUGUAGUCGUGUGUGCUUGUCCUUGUUUGUGUCGAGUGUGGAGUUGUGCUACGCUCGUUGUUCGCAGCGAGAGGUAGAUGUGGUUGUAUGGCUGUAUUUCUCUCCUUCUAUAAAGCUAAGGUACGCAAUUUGCGCACCGUCAAAAAAAACAUUCAAUGGCUAUAAAAGGUGAAUGAGACCAAAUUAUUUCUCAUCUAGAUGAGUUUUAGCAAAACUAAAAAAUUAUAAUUAGAGCAGCACCCUAGUAUUACUAUUACUAGUGGGACCCACAAUUCUAUGAAAAUAUCACUAAUUAUCUCUACUAUUAAAGACGAGUUUGGAUGUACGUUUGUGCGUCCAACUCCCCCUCCCCUGUCCACAUCGUGCAUUAACUCAAUCGAUCAUAUCAAAUCUUAUAGAAACCUCAGCAAAAUCAAAGCUUUCAUUUCUUUGAGUUACACAUACCCACAAAUCGAAUCUUAUCAAAACAUUAACGAAAUAAAAAAACUUGCAUUCUCCUAUCAAUACCAGAAUCAAAUCAAAUAUUAUCAAAAACCUCAGCCAAAUAAAACUUAACUUGUCUACCCUACAAAUACUCAAAUCAAAUCAAAUCUGACCACAAUCUAGAAUAUGAUGAGUGUAAGAUCUAUGUCGGACAUGAUUAGUGUUGAACCACUACGAUAUAGCCCUCAUUGUAACGCACGAGCAAUUAGCUAGUUAUAUUCAAUCUGGAUACUCCUUAGAGAGUCAUUUUGUUGUUGACAACAAGAAGACUAUAUUCCUCAAAUAAUGGUCAUAUCAUUUAAAAUGAGGUGAGAAAUAAUGUCAAAGGUUGAAGAUUCCCAAAAGCUUGAAGAAUGUGUGCUAAAAGAGUUUUUUGCUAAGCCAUCCGCAACUUCAUUUGCCUCCCGGUAGUAGUGUUGAUAAUAGAUUUUGCAAAGUCCAUACUUAGUUGCUUAGUCUUCAUGAUAGUCGCCACUUCUAGUCCAACAUAUGCAUCCUGUUGGAUCAAAACAUCAAUGGUAGAGGAGCAGUCUGGCUCCAAAACCAGACUAGUACACCUAAUAUUUGCCGCAAGGUAUAAGCCAUUCAUCAGGCCGAGCACAUUUCUCUCUGUCUCCAUCUCCCUCUUCCCGCGUCGUCCGACAUGGCCUAGUAGAAGAAGACCAUCCACACUAUGCUAACGCUGGAGCACCGCUUCCAAAUCUAGGAGAAGAUCCGGGCGAGACACGCAACCCGUAUCACAGCCGGCGUGCCUCUCGACUCGUCGGAGCCGGAUGAGGAGGAGGAAGAGCAGUAGAUGGUUCCAAUGGAGGUGGCGGAUCCAGAGGAGGAGAAGGUGGAGCAGCCGGAGGAGGAAUUGGCGCUGGUUGCGGGCUUCAGCACUAUCUCUAUGCUCUUUCCCGAGACUUUGUGCUCCAACACUACCCCUUCUGUGACCCUAAAGUGGCUCUUUUCCCAAUUCAGCAUGAAACCUGUUUCUUCACAUCUCUGUAAAACUUUCAUAAGAUUAUUGAGACACUUAUCAAAGGAUGUACCAUGGACAGAAAAAUUGUCCAUAAACACCUCGACAAUCUUUUCAACAAAGUCAGGGAAAAAAUUAGAAAUGCAUUUUCGAAACGACGGUGAUCCAUUACAUAGAUCAAAUGGCAUCCUAUGGUAUGCAUAUGUACCGUAUGGGCAGGUGAAGGUAGUCUUUUCUUGGUCCUCAGGUCGGAGAGGUAUAUGCGAGAAUCCAGAAUAUCCAUCAGGAAAACAAAAAUAAGAGUUAUUGGCCAAUCUCUCCAAUAUCUCAUUUGUGAACGGCAAAAUGGGUAGUGAUCCUUCUUAGUCCACUUAUUUAGUUUCCUGAAAUCAACACACAUUUCAUAUCCAAUAAUAGCCCUAGUAGGGACUAGGUCAUUAUUUUCAUUAGUUACUAAGGAAACUUUGUUGGGGAACGCGGUAAUUUCAAAAAAAAAUCCUACGAUCACGCAAGACAUAUCUAUGUGAUGCAUAACAACGAGAGGGGGAGUGUAUCUUCAUACCCUUGAAGAUCGCUAAGCGGAAGCGUUUAUCAACGUGGUUGAUGUAGUCGUACACCUUCACGAUCCGCCCCGAUCAAGUUCCGAACGUACGACACCUCCACAUUCAGCACAUGUUCAGCUCGAUAACGUCCUCGCCUUCUUGAUCCAGCAAGACGGGCGAUGUAGUAGAUGAGUUCUGGCAGCACGACGGCGUGGUGACGGUGUUGGUGAAGAACAAUCUCCGCAGGGCUUCGCCUAAGCACUACGGAAACUAUGACGUAGGAAAAACUAGAGGGGACGGGGUUGCCGGCACACGGCUUGGUGUUUCUUGAUGUGUCUUUGGUGCUAGCCCUGCCCCUCUAUUUAUAUGUUGAGCCUUGGGGUCGAAACUUGGAGUAAAAGCCUCCACAAAGUCAGUUUCACCCGAAAAGCAAGAGUCCUUCUCGGACUCCAGAGCCAGACGCCAGGGUUCCCGGCGUCUGGACCCAGACGCCAGGGACCCUGGCGUCUGGCCCCUGGACUCCGCAAAACUUCCUUUUGCGCUUUCCAAAAACCUUGUGGGCUUUCUGAGGGAGUCCUGGAUUAGGGGGUAUCCGGACGGUCGGACUAUAUACUUUGGCCGGACUGUUGGACUAUGAAGAUACAAGACUCAAGACUUCGUCCCGUGUCCGGAUGGGACUCUCCUUUGCGUGGAAGACAAGCUUGGCGACCCAGAUAUUAGAUUCCUUUCCUUGUAACCGACUCCAUGUAAACCCUAGCCCUCUCCAGUGUCUAUAUAGACCAGAGAGGUUAGUCCGUAUGAGGGCGAUCACAACAUUCAUAAUCAUCAUAGGCUAGCUUCUAGGGUUUAGCCUCUACGAUCUCGUGGUAGAUCAACUCUUGUAACACUCAUAUCAUCAAUAUCAAUCAAGCAGGAAGUAGGGUUUUACCUCCAUCGAGAGGGCCCGAACCUAGGUAAACAUUGUGUCCCUUGCCUCCUGUUACCAUUAGCCUUAGACGCACAGAUCGGGACCCCCUACCCGAGAUCCACCGGUUUUGACACCGACAUUGGUGCUUUCAUUGAGAGUUCCUCUGUGCCGUCGCUGCAAGGCUCGAUGGCCCGUCUCGUUGUCAAGGACAACAUCACCUAUGGGGGAGCUCUGGCUGUAGGUCAAACUCUCCGACUAGGUGGCUUCAUCAUGGCCGCCCAAUUGGCUGUCGCGCCAACGAUGACCUCUCGGGUCAUCAUGAAUAGCCUCCACGUCAAUUCAGAACUCGCCGAACAGAUGGAUCCAAUAGAGCUCUCCUCCCUUAACGAGCUCUUGGAUCACAUCGCCGCUUUGGGAGUCGCUACAGACUAUGACUGGAUUGGGCUUAAACCCGACCAGAGGGAUAUUAAAUCCCCGUCAGUCACCCACGAGAUAGCGGUAGUGGAGGAGCCACAUAUGGACCAUCCCUCUAUUCUGAGGACGAACUAUGUCCGGAUCACCGAGCUCUCUGAGCCGGAUACCCAUCCGCGGGAGGAAACGGCCCAAAUUCUGAGCUUAGAAUCGGGCAACGGGUCGGAGAAAUUGGGCAACAUUCUGUAACCCAAGCCGUCGAGCCCGGGAGUUCCCCUGCCCCAGGGCGUUAGAUCGGAUAAGAAUCCAGAUUCAACUACACCCACCCACCCGGACU